rnacentral:misc_RNA from 1 species
GAUGAAGAACGCAGCGAAAUGCGAUAAGUAAUGUGAAUUGCAGAAUUCAGUGAAUCAUCGAGUUUUUGAACGCAUAUUGCGCCCUCUGGUAUUCCGGGGGGCAUGCCUGUUCGAGCGUCAUUAAAUAACCCUCAAGCAUAGCUUGGUGUUGGGCUUUUUUACGUCCUUGACUGGGAUGGGCCUAAAAAUUAGUGGCGAUGGCUUUUUUACUUUCAAGCGUAGUAAAUCUCGUCUUGCUAAAGAGGAAAAAGAUUUUUUUUCUGACAAAAAUUUUAACAUUUAAAGUUGACCUCGGAUCAGGUAGGAUUACCCGCUGAACUUAAGCAUAUCAAUAAGCGGAGGA